GCUUUGUUGUCCAAUCCUUCAUUCAUAGCUGUAUGUGUAUUUUUUAUAUAAUAUGAUUUGUAAAGUUAACAAAAAAAAACAACAAAAAACUGUCAGACUUGCGUACUUGCAACUCUCAAACUCGUAACCAUGGUGAAUUGCAGACUCGCAACUCGCAUGCCAGACAAACUCUGUCACAUAUGAUACAUCAUUCACGAUCGUUCACUUUUAUCUUCUUUUUCAGACGUUUGUUCGACGGACUCAACACACAUCCAACAUGAACUGCUGGAUCAUUUAUUCAAGAAUGAUUCAAACCAACACAUGAUAUUACCGGUGCUAAACUAUUCGGAUGCUAUGACUGUCAAAUUUGGAAUUACUUUGAUUAAAAUAAAAGAUGUGGUGAGCACUCUGAUCUUUUUUAGUUAGGCCAAAAAAAGAAAUAUGUGUGUUUCCGGUUUCCCGACCCUACCUAGCUUUUGGACGUCGAAAUCCCGACCCUAAACUUUUUUUAUUGGGUCAUGCUUGUAAGUGUUUCCACUUAGAGGAAAAAGUUUGUGGAAAAUUGAAAUUUGAGGCAAUAUUAGGGAAAUUUAUCUUUGGAUGUGGAAGCACUGACUAAACAAAAUGGCGUCCGCUUGUUCGGAAAAUUAAAAAAAAAAGUUAAAAAAAAAGUUAAAGCCGACCUACCCUACCUAAGUUUUUAUAAGAAGAAACCGGAAACCCACAUAUUUUUUUUGGCCUUACUGGACGAUUAUUAAGCAAAAUCAGGAGCCUUUCAACAUAUUCUGGUGGGCUUAGUACCCUAUAACGCCUGUUUGCGGGCUACUCGAAACGUAGAGGUUUUGCUUCUAUUUUUCAGGCACAGCUGUCUUUAUCGUCGCUACCCACAGUCCCACACUGGUAUAGACCACACAGUUCCAGACUAUCUACACUCCUCCCCCGACCCUAGAAACAAAAAAUUACGGAGGAUUUAUUUUAUAUGUCCUUACAUGACGUCAGGUUUUCAAAUCCAACUGUUAUUAAUUUUCGUGUAUUUUCCAUUCACAGAAUGCUAAAGAACAAACCAUUCAAGUACACGUGUGGAUCACUCAGG